GCAUAUCCAAUAAAGCGGAGGGAAAAAGAAAAAUUAACGAAUGAUUUCCCUAGUAAGCGGCGAGUGAAGAAGGAAAGAGCUCAAAGUUGGGAACCUGUUUGGCUUAGCUAAACCGGAUUGUAAACCUGUAGAAACAUUUUCCAGAUACACUAGACAAAAAAAGUCCUUUGGAACAGGGCAUCAUAGAGGGUGAGAAUCCCGUCUUUGGUCUAAGUAGUUGUCUAUUGUGAUAUGUUUUCAAAGAGUCAGGUUGUUUGGGAAUGCAGCCUAAAUUGGGUGGUAAAUCUCACCUAAAGCUAAAUAUUUGCGAGAGACCGAUAGCGAACAAGUACCGUGAGGGAAAGAUGAAAAGAACUUUGAAAAGAGAGUUAAACAGUAUGUGAAAUUGUUAAAAGGGAACCGUUUGGAGCCAGAUUGGCUUGAUUGUAAUCAACCUAGAAUUCGUUUUGGGUGCACUUGCAGUCUAUGCCUGCCAACGACAGUUUGAUUUGGAGGAAAAAAUUAAUAGGAAUGUGGCCUUUCGAGGUGUUAUAGCCUAUUAUCAUACUCUGGAUUGGACUGAGGAACGCAGCGAAUGCCUUUAGGCAAGAUUGCUGGGCGCUUUCGCUAAUAAAUGUUAGAAUUUCUGCUUCGGGUGGUGCUAAUGUUUAAAGGAGGAACCCGUUUAGUAUAUUUUUUAUUCGCUUAGGUUGUUGGCUUAAUGACUCUAAAUGACCCGUCUUGAAACACGGACCAAGGAGUCCACCAUAAGUGCAAGUAUUUGGGUGCCAAACCCAUAUGCGUAAGGAAACUGAUUGAUACGAAAUCGCGAGAUGGCAGUAUCACCCGGCGCUGACGUUUUAUACUGAAUUGACCGAGGUAAAGCACUUAUGAUGGGACCCGAAAGAUGGUGAACUAUGCCUGAAUAGGGUGAAGCCAGAGGAAACUCUGGUGGAGGCUCGUAGCGAUUCUGACGUGCAAAUCGAUCGUCAAAUUUGGGUAUAGGGGCGAAAGACUAAUCGAACCAUCUAGUAGCUGGUCCUGCCGAAGU
rnacentral:rRNA from 1 species